rfam:Monodelphis domestica chromosome 3, whole genome shotgun sequence.
AAACAGGUUUUAUUCAAAACCAUAGUCAUAUGAAGAAAUGUUCCA